CCUACGGGAGGUAGCAGUGGGGAAUAUUGCACAAUGGGGGAAACCCUGAUGCAGCGACGCCGCGUGAGUGAAGAAGUAUUUCGGUACGUAAAGCUCUAUCAGCAGGGAAGAAAAUGACGGUACCUGACUAAGAAGCCCCGGCUAACUACGUGCCAGCAGCCGCGGUAAUACGUAGGGGGCAAGCGUUAUCCGGAUUUACUGGGUGUAAAGGGAGCGUAGACGGCAGCGCAAGUCUGGAGUGAAAUCCCAUGGCUUAACCAUGGAACUGCUUUGGAAACUGUGCAGCUAGAGUGCAGGAGAGGUAAGCGGAAUUCCUAGUGUAGCGGUGAAAUGCGUAGAUAUUAGGAGGAACACCAGUGGCGAAGGCGGCUUACUGGACUGUAACUGACGUUGAGGCUCGAAAGCGUGGGGAGCAAACAGGAUUAGAUACCCCAGUAGUC
rnacentral:rRNA from 1 species